AAAGUAGGGGAUCGCAAGACCUUGCGCUUUUGGAGUGGCCGAUGCCUGAUUAGCUAGUUGGUGGGGUAAGGGCCUACCAAGGCGACGAUCAGUAGUUGGUCUGAGAGGACGACCAGCCACACUGGGACUGAGACACGGCCCAGACUCCUACGGGAGGCAGCAGUGGGGAAUUUUGGACAAUGGGCGAAAGCCUGAUCCAGCAAUGCCGCGUGAGUGAAGAAGGCCUUCGGGUUGUAAAGCUCUUUCAGUCGAGAAGAAAAGGUCGCGACUAAUAAUCGCGACUCAUGACGGUAUCGACAGAAGAAGCACCGGCUAACUACGUGCCAGCAGCCGCGGUAAUACGUAGGGUGCGAGCGUUAAUCGGAAUUACUGGGCGUAAAGGGUGCGCAGGCGGCUUUGUAAGUCAGAUGUGAAAUCCCCGGGCUUAACCUGGGAAUUGCGUUUGAAACUACAAAGCUAG
rnacentral:rRNA from 1 species